UACGAAGGGGGCUAGCGUUGCUCGGAAUUACUGGGCGUAAAGGGCGCGUAGGCGGCUCUGUUAGUCAGGCGUGAAAAUCCUGGGCUCAACCUGGGGACUGCGCUUGAUACGGCAGGGCUAGAGGACGGAAGAGGCUCGCGGAAUUCCCAGUGUAGAGGUGAAAUUCGUAGAUAUUGGGAAGAACACCGGUGGCGAAGGCGGCGAGCUGGUCCGUUACUGACGCUGAGGCGCGACAGCGUGGGGGAGCAAACAGG
rnacentral:rRNA from 1 species